CAAGUCGAACGAGAAAGGGGAGCAAUCCCUGAGUACAGUGGCGCACGGGUGAGUAACACGUGGAUGAUCUAUCUCUGAGUGGGGAAUAGCCCUGGGAAACCGGGGAUAAUACCGCAUAAGCUCGAGAGAGGAAAGCAGCAAUGCGCUGAGAGAGGAGUCCGCGGCCGAUUAGCUAGUUGGCAGGGUAAGAGCCUACCAAGGCAGAGAUCGGUAGCCGGCCUGAGAGGGCACACGGCCACACUGGCACUGAAACACGGGCCAGACUCCUACGGGAGGCAGCAGUGGGGAAUCUUGCACAAUGGGGGAAACCCUGAUGCAGCGACGCCGCGUGAGCGAUGAAGCCCUUCGGGGUGUAAAGCUCUUUCGGCAGGGAAGAUAAUGACGGUACCUGCAGAAGCAGCUGCGGCUAACUACGUGCCAGCAGCCGCGGUAAUACGUAGGCAGCGAGCGUUGUUCGGAGUUACUGGGCGUAAAGGGUGUGUAGGCGGUUGUUUAAGUUUGGUGUGAAAUCUCCCGGCUCAACUGGGAGGGUGCGCCGAAUACUGAAUGACUUGGAGUGCGGGAGAGGAGAGUGGAAUUCCUGGUGUAGCGGUGAAAUGCGUAGAUAUCAGGAGGAACACCGGUGGUGUAGACGGCUCUCUGGACCGUAACUGACGCUGAGACACGAAAGCGUGGGUAGCAAACAGGAUUAGAUACCCUGGUAGUCCACGCCCUAAACGAUGCAUAUUUGGUGUGGGCAGUUCAUUCUGUCCGUGCCGGAAGCUAACGCGUUAAAUAUGCCGCCUGGGGAUACAGU
rnacentral:rRNA from 1 species